UUAAAAUGUAAAUUGAUUUAUUAGAGUAGUAUUAGUUAAGGUCUUGAAAUUUAAAAAUUUUGGCGGUAUUUUAGUCUAUUCAGAGGAAUCUGUUCUGUAAUUGAUAGUCCACGAUAAAUUAUACUUAAUUUAAAAAUUUGUAUAUCAUCGUUAUUAAAUAUUUUAUAAGAAUUUAAAUGUUUAAAAUUUUAUAUUAAAAAGUAUAUCAGAUCAAGGUGCAGUUUAUAUUUAAGAAGAAAUGGAUUACAAUAAAUUUAUUUAUGAUGGAUUUAUAUAUUAAAAUAUAUAAUGAAAGUGGAUUUGAUAGUAAUAAAAUUUAUAUAGAUUUUAUGAUUUAAGCUCUAAAAUGUGU
rnacentral:rRNA from 1 species